rnacentral:lncRNA from 12 species
AGUCCUUGAUGUCCUACCAAGGAAGACGUCCUCACAUCUUGCAGCAGGAACCCAUUGAUACGGCGCCCACCUUGACUUCCGAAUGGGACAGCGCAUCCUCAGAAGCAACGGUGAUGGCGGUGAUGGCGCCUGCAUCACACAUCGAAGACGCUUGUGCUGAUAGCUCAAGCCCUUGAAAACCCAGCCAAGGUCAGUGUCGUAUCCUCCAGGAAUCCUGGCCGGCAAGAUGUGCUGGAAGUUGCUGCCGCCACCAGAGCCACCUCUGUUGCCGGCCGCCCCAUCCUUGGACCUUCGCCAAGCCAGCCCAGCCAGUCCUCCGAGGGCCGCGACUCCCGCCGUCACUAGUCCCGCUGCUGACCAGCAGCGGCCCCGCACAGGUGCGGUCACCUGUGUCACACGGAUGCUCCUCGGGGCCACGUGGACAUUUCCAGCCCAGGCCGCAGGGGGGCGCUGGCCCAGAGCCUCUGCGCAUGUGCAGCCCCUCCCGAGGCCCACUCGGGGAGGAGGCCGCGCGGGUCUCUGCUGCAGAGAUCCUGAAGGGAUGGAACAGGAAGAGCAGGCUGCUGCCGCGGGCCACGACGGAGAAGGAAUUUCAGGGGAGAAGAAAUUAAGGGAGUCUUGUUCUGAGAGCACCAUUCAGACCUUCUUUCAGGUAUUCUUAAUAAAUGUCCAUUUUGAAACUCAAGAAGCAGUAUAGGAAGUAUUCUUUAACUAGGGGGAGUAAGAAUGGACAAGAAUCAGUAUUUUCUUUCUGUACUUCCUUCUAAAAGAUAAUUCACAUAUAUUUUAUUGUUUGGAAUUCCCAGUAGCGGCAUUAUCAAGUAGAGUGUUUAGAAGGCCUGUGGGAAGAACAGUAGCUGUUUAAAAUAGUGUGUGUGUGUGUGUGUGUGGGGGGGGGAACUAUUUACUCCAAGUUGAACUGUCUAUGUUGUCUGCUUUAUUAUGGGAUAAGAAUAAAAAACAAACAGAGAAACUUAUGCUAAAGUUA